rnacentral:rRNA from 1 species
CCUACGGGAGGCUGCAGUGGGGAAUAUUGGACAAUGGGGGCAACCCUGAUCCAGCCAUGCCGCGUGUGUGAAGAAGGCCCUCGGGUUGUAAAGCACUUUCAGUGAGGAAGAACGCCUGGUGGUUAAUACCCAUCAGGAAAGACAUCACUCACAGAAGAAGCACCGGCUAACUCCGUGCCAGCAGCCGCGGUAAUACGGAGGGUGCGAGCGUUAAUCGGAAUUACUGGGCAUAAAGCGCGCGUAGGUGGCUUGAUAAGCCGGUUGUGAAAGCCCCGGGCUCAACCUGGGAACGGCAUCCGGAACUGUCAAGCUUGAGUGCAGGAGAGGAAGGUAGAAUUCCCGGUGUAGCGGUGAAAUGCGUAGAGAUCGGGAGGAAUACCAGUUGCGAAGGCGGCCUUCUGGACUGACACUGACACUGAGGUGCGAAAGCGUGGGUAGCAAACAGGAUUAGAUACCCUUGUAGUC